CCUACGGGUGGCUGCAGUGGGGAAUAUUGGACAAUGGGGGAAACCCUGAUCCAGCAAUGCCGCGUGUGUGAAGAAGGCCUGCGGGUUGUAAAGCACUUUCGGUUGGGAAGAAAAGUUUGGCGCCAAUACCGCCGAACCUUGACGUUACUGACAGAAGAAGCACCGGCUAACUCUGUGCCAGCAGCCGCGGUAAUACAGAGGGUGCAAGCGUUAAGUGAAAUCACCGGAGGUGAAGCGUGCGUAGGGGUUCGAAAUCCCCGUGCUUAACCUGGGAACUGCAUUCGAUACUACAUGGCUAGAGUAUGGUAGAGGGAAGUGGAAUUUCCGGUGUAGCGGUGAAAUGCGUAGAUAUCGGAAGGAACACCAAUGGCGAAGGCAGCUUCCUGGACUAAUACUGACACUGAGGCACGAAAGCGUGGGUAGCAAACAGGAUUAGAUACCCUGGUAGUC
rnacentral:rRNA from 1 species